rnacentral:misc_RNA from 1 species
GAUGAAGAACGCAGCGAAAUGCGAUAAGUAAUGUGAAUUGCAGAAUUCAGUGAAUCAUCGAAUCUUUGAACGCACAUUGCGCCCCUUGGUAUUCCGAGGGGCAUGCCUGUUCGAGCGUCAUUAUAACCCCUCAAGCUCAGCUUGGUGUUGGGGCCUGCUGCACUGGCAGCCCUUAAAAUCAGUGGCGGCGCCAUCUGGCUCUAAGCGUAGUAAUUCUUCUCGCUAUGGAGUCCUGGUGGAUGCUUGCCAUCAACCCCCAAUUUUUCUAUGGUUGACCUCGGAUCAGGUAGGAUUACCCGCUGAACUUAAGCAUAUCAAUAAGCGGAGGA